UGGGGAAUUUUGGACAAUGGGGGCAACCCUGAUCCAGCCAUCCCGCGUGUGCGAUGAAGGCCUUCGGGUUGUAAAGCACUUUUGGCAGGGAAGAAACAGCCUGGGAUAAUACCCCGGGCGACUGACGUACUGCACGAAUAAGACACCGCCGUAACUACGUGCCAGCAGCCGCGGUAAUACGUAGGGUGCAAGCGUUAAUCGGAAUUACUGGGCGUAAAGCGUGCGCAGGCGGUUCGGAAAGAAAGGUGUGAAAUCCCAGGGCUUAACCUUGGAACUGCACUUUUAACUACCGAGCUAGAGUACGUCAGAGGGGGGUAGAAUUCCACGUGUAGCAGUGAAAUGCGUAGAGAUGUGGAGGAAUACCGAUGGCGAAGGCAGCCCCCUGGGAUGAUACUGACGCUCAUGCACGAAAGCGUGGGGAGCAAACAGGAUUAGAUACCCUGGUAGUCCACGCCCUAAACGAUGUCAACUAGCUGUUGGGGUUUAUUAACCUUAGUAGCGCAGCUAACGCGUGAAGUUGACCGCCUGGGGAGUACGGUCG
rnacentral:rRNA from 1 species